UUGGAGGGCAAGUCUGGUGCCAGCAGCCGCGGCAAUUCCAGCUCCAAUAGCGUAUAUUAAAGUUGUUGCAGUUAAAAAGCUCGUAGUUGAAUUUCGGGAUCAGAGUGUCGGUCGUGCCUCGGUACGCACUGGUAUUAUUGGUUCCUACCUUCUGAAGAACCGCGAUGUCAUUAAUUUGGUGUCGUGGGGAAUCAGGACUGUUACUUUGAAAAAAUUAGAGUGUUUAAAGCAGGCUUACGCUUGAAUACAUUAGCAUGGAAUAAUGAAAUAGGACGUUUGAUUCUAUUUUGUUGGUUUCUAGGAUUGACGUAAUGAUUAAUAGGGAUAGUUGGGGGCAUUAGUAUUCAAUUGUCAGAGGUGAAAUUCUUGGAUUUAUUGAAGACUAACUACUGCGAAAGCAUUUGCCAAGGAUGUUUUCAUUAAUCAAGAACGAAAGUUAGGGGAUCGAAGACGAUCAGAUACCGUCGUAGUCUUAACCAUAAACUAUGCCGACUAGGGAUCGGAUGAUGUUAAUUUUUUAAUGACUCAUUCGGCGCCUUACGGGAAAC
rnacentral:rRNA from 1 species